GUAUUUGGUGAGACAGUUUAAAUUUCAGUUUCAUUUCCAUGUAUCUGAGACAAAUACGGUGCAAGAACGUCUCCUGUAGGCGCUCUUUUGCGCAACAAAGGGGAGGAUUUGUACUACAGUCGGUUCAAAGGAAGAGUGAGGCGGUCGCUGCUGAAAGGUGUGGUUAGGUGGAGUGUGUUUGUAUGUUCAUGAUGAUCUGUGCUUAGAGCGAGGAAACAGACAGCAAGUCAUCAACACAGCAAGAGAAGCGCAGGACAUGGAAGGAGAGUCGGACACAGACACGACCUCUGACUCAAAAUCUGAAUCAGAUUAUGAUUUCGAGAGCAGCACAGAAUCUGACAGUCUGAGCGAGAACGACAGCGCAGGAGGGAACAAGAGGAAACUGAGGCCAUCUUCCCACUGUACGCCCAAGAAGAGAAGAUCUGAUGACUACAGCCAGUAUUUGAAACGACAAAUCGGAAACAAAUCUGAGCUUCCCGUCACAUGUGGAGAUAAAGACGGCAUCCUGCAUGUGGACAUGUAUAACGACUUGAAGAAGUGCAUCUUCAGCGAAGACCAGUGGUUCAAGCCCAGCGAAUUUGAGAGGUUUGGAGGAAAAGAGAGGAGCAAAAAAUGGAAGGCUAGCAUCUUUUGUGAAAAUAUUCCACUCCAGAAACUCAUAGAGGCUGGACUUUUGUCAUCCUUUAAGAAAAGCCAGUCUCCGAAUAAACAGAUCGAUUCUCCUGACUCCUCUGACGCUGACUCUCCUGACUCCUCAACUGUUGCUAACAGACUCAGAAAAGGAAAGAAACAGCUGUUGCCCUCCUGCUCCGAAUCAAACAGCAGGACCAGUGAUGACGAUAACGAUAUCACCGACAUGAGUGCGUUUGAAGGUUCAUUUUUACCUGUCACCUGUGGUUCUGGCUCUGGCAUCCUGCACAAAUAUCGCUUCGCCACAGGGCGUUGUGGGAGAUGCAUAAGAACAAAAGACUUCUGGCUGACACCUGAGGAUUUCAUCAGACUGAACAAGCCAGGUGGAAUGUGGAGAAGAGACAUUUUAUCCAAUGGGAUACCUCUGGGAAAACUUAUAAUGAAAAAAGUUUUGCAACUGCAUAUGAUCGCCUGCGAUUGUAAGAUGUGUAAAGACCAGGACCAGGACCUACAGAACGAUGACGUGUGUCACGUGUGUGACUCUGAGGGAGAUCUCGUGUGUUGUGACGAGUGUCCGCGAGCUUUUCAUUCGCUCUGUCACCUGCCUGCCGUACAAGAAGACUCGUUAGGAAACCAAUGGAGCUGCACUUUUUGUGUGAUGAAGAAGAUGGGAGGCUCCGAUCAAAAGACCACGCGGGACGUUUUGAGCAGUCCGGUCUCUCAGUACACGCUGGUGAUGUUUAUCACUGCCAGUACCUGCUGUUACACCUGCUACACGAGAGCAAGACCAAUGUCCCAGGAUUCAGUCAGAACAUUACUGCUCUGGACAGAAUGAAGAUGAACUUGGCGAAUAAUACUUAUCAAACAGUACAAGCGUUUGUCACAGAUACCGAACUGGUUUUCAACAGCUGGGACACUUCCAGUGAAGACAGCGACUUGAGCAGAAAGGCCUCGAGGCUGAAGGAAGCGUUCAAGAGGGAGUUUGAAACCGUCUUCAAGCUCCUUUAGCAUCAGGCUGUGGGUUGUUUGUUAACACAACUGACAGCUAAAUCAGUAAAUGUACAUCAGCAAAUUAACCCAAAAUUGUCUGAUUUAUAGUGAUAUAUUUCUAAACUGAGAUAGAAUUAAUUUAAACAUGAAAAAUAACAUACUUGAUUUAGUUUUGUCACUUGUUGUAUUUUUUCUUAUUAUUAUUUUUUAAACUUCAAUAAACUAUUUGUUUUGUAUUAAAA